UUUCUCUUCUCCAGGUGAAGGUCCUGGGCCGUGACAUGCCCGGGGAGCCUCGGCAGGGCAGCUCCUGGCAGAGGGUGUCCUUGGUCACAGCAGCUUCUGUGACCAAAUACUCUGGAGCAGCCCAAGAGCUGGGUGGGAGAGUGAACCCUGAGUAAAGGACCUGGGAGAGAAGAAGCAUGGCAGGCAUUGGAACAGUUGCUGCUGCGGUUGGUGUGAAGCUGGUUGAGAAACUCAUAGACGAGGCAUUCGAGCAAGGAAGUGAGUGCUGAUCCCAUUCCUCCUGUCUGUGCUCAUCCUUGGGAACCUCUGGG
rnacentral:lncRNA from 1 species